rnacentral:rRNA from 1 species
CAGCAGCCACGGUAAUACGUAGGGCGCAAGCGUUGUCCGGAAUUAUUGGGCGUAAAGAGCUCGUAGGCGGUCUGUCGCGUCUGGUGUGAAAUCCCGAGGCUCAACCUCGGGCUUGCAUCGGGUACGGGCAGACUAGAGUGCGGUAGGGGAGACUGGAAUUCCUGGUGUAGCGGUGGAAUGCGCAGAUAUCAGGAGGAACACCGAUGGCGAAGGCAGGUCUCUGGGCCGCAACUGACGCUGAGGAGCGAAAGCAUGGGGAGCGAACAGGAUUAGAGACCCCAGUAGUCCCUGUCUCUUAUAC